rnacentral:rRNA from 1 species
AACGAACGCUGGCGGCAUGCCUAACACAUGCAAGUCGAACGAGAUCUUCGGGUCUAGUGGCGCACGGGUGCGUAACGCGUGGGAAUCUGCCCUUUGGUUCGGAAUAACAGUUGGAAACGACUGCUAAUACCGGAUGAUGACGAAAGUCCAAAGAUUUAUCGCCAGAGGAUGAGCCCGCGUAGGAUUAGCUAGUUGGUGUGGUAAAGGCGCACCAAGGCGACGAUCCUUAGCUGGUCUGGGAGGAUGAUCAGCCACACUGGGGCUGAGACACGGCCCAGACUCCUACGGGAGGCAGCAGUGGGGAAUAUUGGACAAUGGGCGAAAGCCUGAUCCAGCAAUGCCGCGUGAGUGAUGAAGGCCUUAGGGUUGUAAAGCUCUUUUACCCGGGAUGAUAAUGACAGUACCGGGAGAAUAAGCUCCGGCUAACUCCGUGCCAGCCGCCGCGGUAA